rnacentral:rRNA from 1 species
GCCUAACCUAACACACAAUAAAAUACCAAUUGUUCGCCAAACAACUACGAGUAAAAACUUAAAACUUAAAAGACUUGACGGUACUUCACACCACCCUAGAGGAGCCUGUCUAAUAACCGAUACUCCACGAUUAACCCAACCCCCUCUAGCCAAUCAGUCUAUAUACCGCCAUCGCCAGCCUACCUUGUAAAAGAAACAAAGUAAGCACAACAGCCACCGCUAACACGAUAGGUCGAGGUGUAACAAAUGGGGGGGUAAAAGAUGGGCUACAUUUUCUAACACAGAAAACACGAACAAACUAUGAAAGUAGAAACAGAAGGCGGAUUUAGCAGUACGUUAAGGACAAAAUGCUUAACCGAAACAAACGCAAUGAAGUGCGUACACACCGCCCGUCAUCCCUGGAACAACAAUAAAUAACAUUUAUAAAAACACAAAACACCCUAAACAGGGCAAGUCGUAACAUGGUAAGCGUACUGGAAAGUGCGCUUAGAAA